GAGUUUGAUCCUGGCUCAGGAUGAACGCUAGCGGCAGGCUUAACACAUGCAAGUCGAGGGGUAUGGUUCUUCGGAACCAGAGACCGGCGCACGGGUGCGUAACGCGUAUGCAAUCUACCUUUCACAGAGGGAUAGCCCAGAGAAAUUUGGAUUAAUACCUCAUAGUAUGUUGGUCUCGCAUGAGAUUAUUAUUAAAGAUUUAUCGGUGAAAGAUGAGCAUGCGUCCCAUUAGUUAGUUGGUAAGGUAACGGCUUACCAAGACUACGAUGGGUAGGGGUCCUGAGAGGGAGAUCCCCCACACUGGUACUGAGACACGGACCAGACUCCUACGGGAGGCAGCAGUGAGGAAUAUUGGACAAUGGGCGCAAGCCUGAUCCAGCCAUGCCGCGUGCAGGAUGACGGUCCUAUGGAUUGUAAACUGCUUUUAUACGAGAAGAAACACUGGUUCGUGAACCAGCUUGACGGUAUCGUAAGAAUAAGGAUCGGCUAACUCCGUGCCAGCAGCCGCGGUAAUACGGAGGAUCCAAGCGUUAUCCGGAAUCAUUGGGUUUAAAGGGUCCGUAGGCGGUCAGAUAAGUCAGUGGUGAAAGCNCAUCGCUCAACGGUGGAACGGCCAUUGAUACUGUCUGACUUGAAUUAUUAGGAAGUAACUAGAAUAUGUAGUGUAGCGGUGAAAUGCUUAGAGAUUACAUGGAAUACCAAUUGCGAAGGCAGGUUACUACUAAUAUAUUGACGCUGAUGGACGAAAGCGUGGGUAGCGAACAGGAUUAGAUACCCUGGUAGUCCACGCCGUAAACGAUGGAUACUAGCUGGUGGGAGCAAUCUCAGUGGCUAAGCGAAAGUGAUAAGUAUCCCACCUGGGGAGUACGAACGCAAGUUUGAAACUCAAAGGAAUUGACGG
rnacentral:rRNA from 1 species